GACGAACGCUGGCGGCGUGGAUUAGGCAUGCAAGUCGGACGGUAGGGCUUUAUCGUAAGAUAGAGUUUGAGAGUGGCGAACGGGUGAGUAACACGUAGGAAUCUACCCUUAAGACGGGGACAACCCAGGGAAACUUGGGCUAAUACCGGAUGAGAGUGCGAGAGAUUGCAUUUAAAAGGAUGGCGAAAGUUGUCGCUUAGGGAUGAGCCUGCGGUCUAUUAGUUAGUUGGUGAGGUAACGGCUCACCUAGGCAAUGAUAGGUAGGCGGCCUUAACGGGUGGUCGCCCACACUGGGAUUGAGAUACGGCCCAGACUCCUACGGGAGGCAGCAGUCGAGAAUAGUCUACAAUGGUCGGAAGACUGAUAGUGCGACGCCGCGUGAACGAUGAAUCCCUUCGGGGUGUAAAGUUCUUUUAUAUGUGAGCAGUGCUUCUUAUAUUAACAGUAUGGGGGAAGAGAUAUUAGCAUAUGAAUAAGCAACGGCUAAACUCCGUGCCCAGCACGG
rnacentral:rRNA from 1 species